UAGGGAAUAUUGGACAAUGGGCGAAAGCCUGAUCCAGCAACGCCGCGCGCACGAUGAAGGCCUUCGGGUUGUAAAGUGCUUUUAAGGGAGAUGAGAAAGGACAGUAUCCCUUGAAUAAGCCUCGGCGAACUACGUGCCAGCAGCCGCGGUAAAACGUAGGAGGCAAGCGUUAUCCGGAUUUACUGGGCGUAAAGCGCGUGCAGGCUGUUUGGAAAGUUGGAUGUGAAAGCUCCUGGCUUAACUGGGAGAGGUCGUUCAAAACUACCAAGCUAGAGAAUGGGAGAGGGAAGUGGAAUUCCCAGUGUAGCAGUGAAAUGCGUAGAUAUUGGGAGGAACACCAGUGGCGAAGGCGGCCACCUGGCCGGCAACUGACGCUGAGGUGCGAAAGCGUGGGGAUCAAACA
rnacentral:rRNA from 1 species